UACGUAGGGUGCAAGCGUUAUCCGGAAUUAUUGGGCGUAAAGGGCUCGUAGGCGGUUUGUCGCGUCGGGAGUGAAAACCUUGGGCUUAACUCAGGGCUUGCUUUCGAUACGGGCAGACUAGAGGUAUGCAGGGGAGAACGGAAUUCCUGGUGUAGCGGUGAAAUGCGCAGAUAUCAGGAGGAACACCGGUGGCGAAGGCGGUUCUCUGGCAUGAUCUGACGCUGAGGAGCGAAAGUGUGGGGAGCGAACAGG
rnacentral:rRNA from 1 species